ACUUUCUACAAACCUCUGAGAGAAAAUUGCCAAAAAAAGUCCAGCCAAGGAAUGAGUGGGGCAAUUGGUAUAUCUGUAGCAGUAGAGGGGGUAGUUUCGAGGUAUAUCUGUAGUUUCGAGGGGGUCUGUGACGAGAUCCCUGACCCCAGCCGCUUGGACACAGAUGUGGUGCCCUGGUAACGGGGCAGGUGCCGCUCACCGACCCCCGGGUACCGCCGGCGCUCCAGCAGCGAUGCACAGACACCUUCUGUCCUAGCCCACUGCCCCCCUGGGGUGCUGCCCGCCGGCAGAACCCACCUUCCCCGAGAAACCGCUUCCCCCCGUUCCCUCUGUCUCCUCUGGCCCCUCCGUCGGCCUCCGUUUCCAGAGGUCCCUUAAAUUAACCAUCAGCAGCAGUAGGAAUAGUGAUGAUAACAACAAGAGGCGGCGGGGGGGCGAUGCCUGGUGCGCGGAGGGACUUGCCCACCCCACUGCCAACGCACCCGAGACCCGACAGCCCCGCUCUCGGCGUGGGACGCGAGCAGCCCCAAACGCGAGCACCGCUGGGCCCCACAGGCUGAGCCUCGACCCCUCACCCUGCCUGGCCGGGACCCUGAAGAAGGGAGGGCCCUCCCAAAAGACAUGUCCUCGUCCCCCACGGCUGUCUGCCUUGGGGCGGGAGCGGAGGAGAUAAGUGAGUGGAAAAUACUGGGGCGAAAAGCGGGGAGCGAGCCACGUCGCAGUCCGAUGUGAAGAAGCAUUCGUGGCUGCCCCCUCCCUCCACCACCAACUUCCCCCCCCCGUCCCUCCGCCACUUCUUCUCUUCUUCCCACCCGUUCCAGCGGGGCUGGAGAAGCCUCUAAUGGGCUGCCUACGAGUGACGGUGCAGAGCGGGCGGCUGCGGAGCGCGGAGAGGAGGGAACGGGUUGCACAAAUGGCAGUGCCUUCCAGAAACAAGACUCGGAUGAAACUCUUCUUCUGGAAUUUAGCUGAAGAAAAACACCUUAGAACACUCGACCUUUUGCUUCACUUUUUUUUUUUUUCCUAAGUUUCCAAAGAAAUGCAAGCUUCCCUUCUUCUCUAGGAAGAGGUAGCCAUUGCUCUUCUUUACACUAGACAUUUCUAAUUUGUUCCGUCUGUCAAAAUGGGACUAUGAGAGGGUUUUGGUGCAAAUUCAUUAUCUCUGGCAACAUACAACCUAUAAUAGGAACUGAAAAAGACCGUGGCAAUGGAUGAACAAUAGGGCUUCAGUUCAUCAGCAACAAAAGCGUUGGGGAAAUUGCUUGAAUUUCAGAGCACGUCCUCCUCAGCAGAGAGGGCUGGACUAGACCUUGGCCAACUCCCCCAAAAAACUUGCAGAGCCUCACAUACAACAGUUCACUUUCUACUCCGGGGCAUAGGAAGCAUUGCAGAAAAAAAGAAAAAAUAUAAGGCAAACCCAAGCCAACUUUCUGUGUUUCUCUCCCAUUUUUCUGGAUGGAACAUUUCUAACUCUUUUAGAGUCCUUGGAACAAGAAUAAUACUGUGGAGCUAAGCAGCACUUUUAAAUAGGGAUGGCAAGGGGAAAGACGUGAAUUUAUGGAAAAUUGGGAGAGCUUUCUCUGCUCUGAGGGGCCUUGGCCGUGGGGAUCUUUGUUUGUCAUCGUUGGCUCAGCUUUCCCCCUAGAUCUGGGGUCACAUCUUUCCCUGAUAAAGGCGAAGAAAUGAAGACAACUCCUGACAGAGAUGCUUCCUACAGCACACCAUAUUAGUGGGAGUGGAAUAACUGCUGCAUCACUAACACCUGUGAGCAUCACCUGGAAAAGAGUAGUGUAUGGCUAGUGACUUUUCUUCCUGAGGAGAAUGACUGAGAUGUCUGCUUGGAGUUAUUCCUGGAAUUAGACCAGCAUGAGGUCUCCUCUACCAAUCAGAGGUCAGACUUUGUACACCAUCACUGUUCUGCCAUCUUCGAAAUAAUUCUAAGAAGCUGUUGUACAGAAAUGUCAGAGAAAACUCCUAAAAAAAAAAAAAAAAGGAAAAAUAAAAAAUAAGACCUAGCCAAAGAGAGAGCUCUGCAAUCCCCAUAACACAAGGAGAUAAAAAUGGGAUUGAUCCCCUUUGGACAGUGUUGCUCACCCUCAUACUAGCACGGGAGAUGGCGUUUGGAACUGACUUGAUGUACAUUUGGCAGGAGGCCAAAGCAGAGCAGAAUCAACAUCCAGAAGAAAAUGCCAAAUACAAGAAAAUAACAGGGACUUAAUAUGAUUUAAUAUCAAUAAAUUGUUUGAGGUCUAUUCAUCACAGCUUGGACUGAAACACUGCUUUUCCUCCACGUCAUGGAGCCAAAUUGUUGAGGAAGGUUUAUGGCAGAAGACCUACUGACCCUGUUCAAGAGCUUGUUCUUGCUGUUUUCUACAAUUUCCUCUGUGCUUUUUUAUUAAAGCAACAGGUACCAUAUCUUACUUGGACAUACUGUGAUGCAGCCAUCCUAUCAAUCCCCACCUCCAAAGUGUUUUUGAGUCUCAGCACGCAAAGCUUGACUUUGGGCUAUGCCUAGCACAGCUGGUGCCAAAUAAUGUGAAUUUUCUUCCUACAUCACAUAUAGAAAGGCCCUGGUGGUGCCCUACCUCUUCCCUCCUCUUCUCUCAUUUGGAUUUUAUGUGAAGGAAUCACAGCAGCUGAGAUUUGACCUCACUUCUGACACACAUUUCACUGUUGAGCCCUUCCUCCUUCUUCAUCUACUGCCCAACUUGCAGCCUCUCCCUUCCCAGCUCAGAAAAUCUGAAGUACUUUAUACAGAGGACAGAUGCUGUGGGCUUCAGAGGGUCUCACACCCUGGGGCAUCAGGGUUAGGGCAUGUCCCGAGCGGCUGCAGGAAGGGAUAAAUCUCAGGAAGGUAAAGGUGUGAUGUAAGCCUGUGUUUACUAUGCUCCCAUUGAAUUACCGAAGAAAAUACAGCAAAGAACAGAUAGGAGGUACCUCUGACUCCUCUGCUGGUUUUUGCAUCAUGUCCAUGCACUGUAGAGUGCCACAUCCAGUCCAGCCUAUAUCUUCUUGAAGAUUUUAUGAGAUGGGCAAAGGUGAGAAAGCCCAAGAGGCUGCAGAUCAUAGAAUGGUUUGGACCUUUAAAGGUCAUCUAGUCCAACUACCCUGCAAUGACCUGGGACAUUUGACAUUCGAUCAGGUUGCUCGGAGCCCUGUCUAACCUAAUCUUGAAUGUUUUCAGGGAUGAGUCACUCACCACCUCUCCAGGCAACCUAUGCCAGGGCCUUACCACCCUCAUCAUAAAAAAAAAGUCUUCCUUUUGUCUAGUCUGCAACCCAUCUUUUUGUAGCUUAAAACCAUUUCCCCCCAUGCUGUCACUACAGGGCCUAUUAAAAAGUCUGUCGCCACCUGUAUCACAAGCCCUCUUUAAGUAUUAAAAUAUUGAAGUCUACUGUGCUGCACUAGACUUGAGAACAGACAAGAUGAGAAUCACAAAAAGGUUGUGGCUCCUGGAAUCAAGAUAAACUAAAAAGUUUUGGCUCAAUCCUGUUUUCAAGCUCUUUACUAGAAGUGUAGUGGGACAACCUAUAAAGAAGAAAUACAUUCUGCUGUCUAACUGAGACCAUCUGGACAAUUCCAAGACAAAUCCUACCUAUUCUCUAUGGUUCACUGGAGCCUAAGCUACUCAAAAAGUCAUGCAGUUUUGGGGCUGUGGAUUUUAUUUUCUUUCCCUCCUAAGACAAAAAUACCCAAAAUAUUCAAGAUGGUAUAAACCUGCACCACAGCUGUGUAAGGUGGGCAGAGAGAAUAUUUUCCACUAAAACCCUGCUACUGGAGAACUUCCAGAUCCUAAAAAGAAUUUAGGAAAAGUAAAUCACAGGACUAUCAACAUGGUGUGAAAGAAUGGAAGAUCAAGAGAAAACAGGUUUCACUUUCAGUCUCUGGAUUAGAGGGAAGCUCUUCUUGCCUCCUUUUCCUGAGGGACUGAUGGGUGUGAUGUACAAUAGUGGGUAGCCAGCAAAGACUGGCCCCCAUGUCAGGAAGAUGGAAUAGUCUCAGAGCAGUUCCAAGAAGAACUCAAUUUUAACUGAAUUUGAAGAGGACCAUAAUUAUGCCUUCAAACUUUCAGCAGGCUGUGUCAAAUACAUCAUUAAGAAGGUUCCAUGAAUACUGAGGUAUCCCUGCUCCAUGGAGCAGCCUGAGAGAGAAACAUUCUGCUAGGUCUAUGAGUUGUGCCGCCUGCAGGUCUGACCACUGGCUACCUCCUGCUACAGAGCUGCUAAGAAAGCCCAAAUUGAUGUACUUGAUCUGUGCUGAGAAUUGCAUGAUGUUCCACAAUUGCAAUGAAAGAGGCCAUUAAUUCUGCAAAAGCUACUAUAUAAUUUCACGUAGACACCUCCCAUUCAGAAAUAUAUUUCAAUUAAAUUAAUUUCUGAAUAAAAAAUUAAGUGGAGAAUUCAGUGGAUGGCACCAGGGUCAAAGUUUGCCAUUCUGGAUUCUCCUCUUUUUGCUCUUACAAAAAAAAAAAAAAGAGGAAUGAAAACGUAGUUCACUUCCACCCUAUUUUGUACAUCUUUUUUUAAAGUAUCUAUAUAAGUGAGAACAUACGAAAAAAUGGGAUUGUCACAACCAUUAGAUAAUGUUUUCCACAUCUUAGAACUAAUCCUUUUUCUUUUGCUUCUCUUAGUAUCCGAAGUGGAAAGUGAGUUCAGAAAGGUAACACUUACAUCAUGGAUUAUUUUGUUUGACUUCUGUGGAGAGGAGUAGUUUAUGUUAUUUAUUUUGUAAUAGAGUUAAUGCUAACUUGUUUUUAUGUUUGUUUGUUUUAUUUUGUUUUGCAGAUGAUGUUUUUUAGCUGCAUUCCAUAAAAGCAUUUAAGAUGAAUUACUGAUUCUUGAGAAUCUACAAUUCUGGGUGCUUUGGAAACAACAUAUGUUAGCAACAAAAAGAAAAGUGUCUUUAUCUGCAUUGUGGAAUAUUCUGAAAACAGUAAUUGUGGGAAAACUAUAUAGUGAGAUGUGCAGUUUGCACUGCUUUGGGGACGGGGACAGUUCUGCUUUUGGACAGUACAUGGGAUAAGAACAGUCUUUGAGAGGAGGCACCACCAAAAUCUGACUCUCAGUAACUUUUAUCUGGUCCCUUUCAUUAUUUCCUUAUUGCACUAUAUAUUGGAAAUGCAGAUUUUCUAUUAAAUUUCUACUCACUUUUGUACCUGCUUUCGCCACCAUGGACUACAAUAGACAAAUAAGUUAAUGACAUUUGUUCAUUCUAAGCACAUAAAUUUCAGAAACAGGUCAAUUUAUAGUCAGUCAUAAUUUUGCAAUGGAAAGCAAUGGGGAAAAGCUAUGAUCAGUACCCAAAACAUGACUUUUCUAUUUUGUAAUAUUUAUAAAUUAUAUCCUAAACCUAAAAACCAGUUUGUUUCUAUGAAAUGUGGUUAUGUAUAUUUAAUUCUUUAAAAAUUUCUUAGAGAACUAUCUUCAUCUUGGCUAUCAAAUUAUUGCUUUCUCAAAAGAUUUACUCCUUUUUUUCCUUGUUCUUAGCAAUAUAUUAGAGAAGAUAAAAUUCAGUGAAAAAAAUCUUAAGCCAAUUUCAUUUUACUUGUACUUUUAUUGCUAUUUUACAUUCAUAUUAUAAAAAUAGAAUUUAGUCUUUUAGAAAUCCUGUAGAUCCUUUGCAGACAAAAUCUUUGUUGAUAUUGCUUGAAACAAAGAUUAUAAAAUGGAGUGGUGAGAUUAGUUCUCUGUAUGUGUCUAACAGUGCCUGAUUAUUUUUCAUGCCAUGUUCUCCUAUCUGUUCAGAACACUUUUUCCACCAGUACAACUCAACAUUUGAUAUAAUUAAUAUAUAUCUCUUUUUAAAAUGAAGAGUUCAUGUUGCUUAAAUGUAUCUCUUUGGUUGGACUUUUAAUAAAAUAUUUCAA